GACGAACGCUGGCGGCGUGCCUAAUACAUGCAAGUUGAACGCUUCUUUCUUAUCGAACUUCGGUUCACCAAGAAAGGAGAGUAGCGAACGGGUGAGUAACACGUGGGUAACCUGCCCAUCAGCGGGGGAUAACACUUGGAAACAGGUGCUAAUACCGCAUAAUACUUUUUCUCUCAUGAGUGAAAGUUGAAAGGCGCUUUUGCGUCACUGAUGGAUGGACCCGCGGUGCAUUAGCUAGUUGGUAGGGUAACGGCCUACCAAGGCAACGAGGCAUAGCCGACCUGAGAGGGUGAUCGGCCACACUGGGACUGAGACACGGCCCAGACUCCUACGGGAGGCAGCAGUAGGGAAUCUUCGGCAAUGGACGAAAGUCUGACCGAGCAACGCCGCGUGAGUGAAGAAGGUUUUCGGAUCGUAAAACUCUGUUGUUAGAGAAGAACAAGGAUGAGAAGAGAAUGUUCAUCCCUUGACGGUAUCUAACCAGAAAGCCACGGCUAACUACGUACCAGCCGCCGCAGUAA
rnacentral:rRNA from 1 species